rnacentral:misc_RNA from 1 species
AAGUCGUAACAAGGUUUCCGUAGGUGAACCUGCGGGAGGAUUAUCAAAUAAUACUUGUUAACCAAUAUCAACCAAAUGUGAACUGUAACGUCCCUAUUGUAUUCGCAAGGAUACAGUAGACAAUACCCCAAUAACCAGUAGUCACUGGUUGUCUCUAAGUGCUUCGGUGCUGACGAGAUGACUUAGUGAUGAAGUAUUCACCAAUUUUAACCCUAUAAAUAAAGAACUGUCUAAUCUUCAUAACUUUUGCGACUGUUCUCUUCACGGAGGAUGGUGGUUUAAGAUUACGAAAUAUUGAACAACUCUUAGCAAUGGAUAUCUUGGGUCAU